rnacentral:rRNA from 1 species
UACGGGGGGGGCAAGCGUUGUUCGGAAUUACUGGGCGUAAAGAGCUCGUAGGCGGUUCCGUAAGUCAGAUGUGAAAACUCAGGGCUCAACCCGGAGACGCCAUCUGAUACUGCGGUGACUGGAGUCUGGUAGGGGAACACGGAAUUCCUGGUGUAGCGGUGAAAUGCGCAGAUAUCAGGAGGAACACCGAUGGCGAAGGCAGUGUUCUGGGCCAGUACUGACGCUGAGGAGCGAAAGCGUGGGGAGCAAACAGG